GAAAUGCGAUAAGUAAUGUGAAUUGCAGAACUACGUGAAUCAUCGAGUCUUUGAACGCAUAUUGCACCUUGGGGUAUUCCUCAAGGUAUGCCUGUUUGAGUGUCAGUAACUAUCCUCAACCCCUUACGGGUGUUGGAAUGUGGAUUUCUUUUAGUUCUCGCGACUAAAAGUCAUCUUAAAUGGAUUGGUGGGCAGUUUUAGUCUGAAGUAGGUCUGCUCUAACUUUGAUAAAGUCUUGUUACUUUUCUAGUUACCGGACCUUCUUGUUAACAGUCAAGAACUUGCAUUCAUCCUCAAUCUUUGAGUUGAACUAGGCGCUUGACGCGUUUUUCAACUUGUAACUUGACCUCAAAUCAGGUAGGACUACCCGCUGAACUUAAGC
rnacentral:misc_RNA from 1 species